GUGAAGAAGGAUGUGUUGCUUCCCCUUCUGUCACAAUUAGAAAACACAGACCUGAAGACAGAACCUGAAGGUUAGAAGAUGACAAGAAGUUCUUCUAAUACUCUAGGCCUGAAGUAAUUGGACUUAAAAUCAGAAAAGUGGCAGCAAGAGUGAAAAAGAAUGCGUGAAAAAUGCUAGGAUUUCACAUUUGAUGGACUCAAAGGGGAACAUUAGACAAAGAAAGACUCUAACAAUUCUAAGGUAGAUCACCUCGGGGAGAGGAAAUGUUUUAUAAAUAAAAGAGACAGACAUGCAAAAUCAUUUAAGACAUGUUGACUUUGAAGUGUCUGGCCAGAGGGCCUGCGUUUAAAGGAAGG
rnacentral:lncRNA from 10 species